GAGUUUUGCUCUUGUUGCCCAGGCUGGAGUGCAAUGGCGUAAUCUCGCCUCACCGAAACCUCUGCCUCCCAAUUCAAGCAAGUCUCCUGCCUCAGCCUCCCGAGUAGCUGGGAUUACAGGCAUGCGCCACCAUGCCCGGCUAAUUUUGUAUUUUUAGUAAAGACGGGGUUUCUCCAUGUUGGUCAGGUUGGUCUUGAACUCCCGACCUCAGGUGAUCCGCCUGCCUCAGCCUCCCAAAGUGCUGGGAUUACAGGUGCCAAAGAGGGCAGAUCACCUCCAUUUAAUCUUCUAUUUGUCUGAAGAUAUUAUCCAUUGUCAUUUUUGCUAGUGAAACUUCUAGAAUAGACUUCAUUUCUGAAAUAACUUUUCAUUUAUUCUAAUUCCCUCCUGAGUUCUGUAACCUCACUUUUAAACAUCUUAUUUUUUCCAAUCAUCACAUUUUUGAAUUUUUCUCACUCUUAUAUUGAUUUUUCAUAGUCCCUUUUCUUUUCUUAAUGGUUUUCUUUUGUUUUAAGGGUAAAUCUUUCUGUCAUAAAGAGCAAUAGGAAGAAUA
rnacentral:lncRNA from 10 species